rnacentral:lncRNA from 1 species
UAUUUCCUUCUCUCCUUUUUCUUUAAUUUAGUUAUCUAAUGUUUCCAAUCUUAUCUAUUAUAGAAUCCAAUCUAAUCCAAUCUAAAAUUACCUAAUCUAAUCUACAAAAUCUAGUCAAAUCUAAUCUAAUCUAGAAUCUAAUAUAACAUAUAUUUAAAUUUGUCCAUUCUAAUUUAUAAGUACGAAACCUAAUCAAAUCUAAUCUAGAAUUAUCUAUUAGAGUAUUAAAUAUAGUAGAAUAUACUAAUUAAAUUUGAUUUACUUAAUUCCAAAUUACCUAAAUUAAUACUUUAAAAAUUCUGACUUAAAAUUACCUUAUUUAAUCUUAUAUCGAAUCUAAUCUAAUCUAUUUUAUAUUUAAGUUUCCCAAUUU